CCGCCCCCGGCCGCCCGCCCCCGCCCUGCCGCGCCGCUGCCAGGCAACCGGCAGGCCCCGCCCCCGCACCGCCCUUCCCAUUGGUAGGUUCCGGAGAUGGAGGAGGAGGCGGGGCCCGCGGGCCGGCUGAGGGCAGCAAUUGGCCGGUAGCGCUGUCGAUCGCGGGGGAGGAGGCGGAGGCGCGGCGCGGGCCUCGGCCCUGGGAACAGCCUGGGGGCCGGGCGACAGCCGGGCUGGGGGCGGGGCGGCGUGGGCCGGUGGCGCUGGAGGCGGAGAGCGGAAGGUGGGCGAGAGCGCGUGGGGGCGGCUCUUCGCUGAGUCGCGAGUCGGGGCGGCCCCUGGGCGCCGCUCCCUGCUAGUGGCGGGGGGCGCGGGCUCGCGCAGGGCGGGGGAGAGUCCCUGGGCAGCCGGCCGCGCGGGCGGAGUGAGUGAUGGGGAGAGGCCGGCACGCAGCCGCACGGUCCGGCCCGGACCCGGAGUUUUGGGAGCCCAGGUGCCCAGGGAGACAUAGCCCCACAAGACAUCAGUCGGACAGACCGGGACUGAGGCAAGUCCCGAAGUCACAGCCAGUCUACCAGGACCCAGGUGGACCGCAUUCUGCUUCGUACGAUCAUCCCGAAGAAAGGACAGCAACGUGCAGGACGAGGUUGCCUGCCCUCCUGUCUGCAAGCCUUCCGUCACAGGCAGAUCCUUUUUGGUUGAAUUUCCUUCCUGAAACCAGCUGUGGCUUCCUCUUCUUUAUUUGUUGUUUGCAGAGUUUUAAAGUAGAUUUCUGCGUUUAUUGGUUUUGGGAUUCUUUUGGUUGUAAGCGACAGAAAGCAAUUCAAACCGGCUCUGACAACUGGGAUAUUUAUCUGCUUGUGCGGCUGUGAAGUUAGGGCUGUCUCCUUCCCCUUCUUUCUCUUUCUUUCCCGGCCACCAUGGUGUGGUGCACGCUUGCAUCCCGCCGGCCCUAGGACCAGCGUCUGUUGAACUGACCGGGGUCAGGGGCUGAGGUGGAGCUGGGUGGGGGCGGGGUAGAGCUGGCUGCUGCUUGCCCAAAGGGAAGUGACGUGGUUGGGGUCAGAAGAAUGACAGGUGGAAGCCGGCAGGAAAACCGGGGAGAGGGUGGGGAGGGGUAUAGUCUGGAGAGUCCUGGGCUGGCCGCUCCCCUCGGUCUCAAGACAGCGGAGGGAGGAGAGAGUCCUCUCCUGAGAAGCAUCUGUAGUCCUAAGCACCGCUCCACUCUCUGGAAGGUUCUGCCCUUGACUACCGUUCUCCUGCCCAAGGGCAUGCUCCCCUUUGGUAGCAGCUGAGGUAGGGGAGCCACUCCGAGCCUGGCCUGCCUUCCAGCAGCCAUCCCGGGCCUCUCCCUCUCCCUGGCAGCUGGGCAGGAGGUGAGCGGUGGGGGAGGGGUGCCAUCGGCACCCUGCCACAAGUGGAACUGAGCGAGCCUCUCGUGGAGUGUCACCCAGAAAGCGAGUGGGGCUGAUGGCAGGCACAGGGUGAGACGCGGGUGAGGCUGUCCUAUCAAGACCUGGAGACCUGGACCCGGCCUGGCGGCCUCUCCGAGCCACCAGACUCCAGAAGGGUCUCCAGCGUAGGCGUGCUCAGUCCUUCAGCUGUGAGGAGGGGUCUUAGCCCCCCACCCCCACCCCACCAGGAGACCACCAGUGUUCUCUGGGGGUUUUCUUACUUGUGUGGAAGCUCUUUCACGUGGUGAUGGUGUCUGGGGCCGGGGCUGAGGACCAAGGGUAAGGUCCUAGGGCCUGAGUGGUGGACGAGACGAGAUGGUGGGCGGGGUACUGACAGGUCAGCAGCAGCACCAGCUCCCAGGACUUAGGGGGCCACCCUUGUCUUGGCACCUCUUUCUUUUGGAAGCGUUCAGGGCCCUUUAUAAACCCCACCUUGUUCCUUCUCCUUAACUCAGAGUGUGUUGGGGGCUGUGGGAUCCAGCCCCUGGCCCGGGGGUUGGCACUCGGGGCAGCUGGGAAAUCAUCACCCCGACUUGGGGUCUGGCCCACCCCCUCCAACACCGGCCAGAGCAAGGCAUUGUCACGAUGGAGAAGUCCGAGAGGACCAGCGCCAGCCAAGAUGGGCGGUCCCAGCACCCCCGGAACAGGGUGGUGGUCUUCCUGCACUUGGGGCAGGGCUGAGGGGCAGCUGGUGUCCCCGAGGAGGCAGGUGCACUGGCACUCUGUUUCCCUGUCACUUCUGAUCGUUGGUCCUCACCUCUGCGGUCUGCGCCACCAGGGAGGCGUGUAGCCAUGGGGAUCUUCAGCACGUAGCUCUGAACCAGAGGGCCCUCCCCCCGCCCCAGCCCCGCACACCGGCACCGGGCCCUCGUGCAUGCCGGGUGCCGGGCUGCAGUCAGAGGCGAGAACCUGACCGUGUGGUGCUGUGGACGCCGACUCCGGCUCAGCAGACCCCAGCCUGGGCGGCCCAGGAGACAAGGCUGCAGGCAGGGAGAAUAAAAGUGCGUCUCUUCAUCAGCUUA